rnacentral:lncRNA from 1 species
UAUCUUAUCCUGGCAGUGGAAAGAACAAAUGGCAGCUUUGUGUACCAUUCUGCAUGAAGAGCACUGAUUUCCAUCGAAAAGCAGGGUCAGUGUUUUUCUGCCAGCCGUCUCAAUCUGGGACAAGUUGGUUUCAUUUGGCUCACAUGCCAGAGACUUGCACAGAUACUGAACCACCUGUAGUGAUCUCCUGUCCUCAGAACAUUGAGAUAGAAACCAAAAAAGGAAACCCCUACUGGAAUGACCUGCCUGAAUUGUCUUGGAAGGAGCCUGUGUUUGAAGACAACUCCAGGGGUCCACUGACAAUCACAAAAAGAGGGUCCAGUGUGAAUAAUGGAGACAAACUGGCAUAUGGCCAAUAUUCAGUGGAAUAUAUAGCAACGGAUCUUUCAGGAAACCAAGCCAAAUGUUCCUUUGAGAUCUCUGUGAAAUGUAUAUAUUUGGCUUAUACUCAAGGUCAACCAAAUGGAAUAUAAUGAAGUAUUAAUGCUAAUUGUCCUGUUUCAUUUGUUAUUUGAUGAUUAAUACCAAGUGGGGGUUUGGAUAUAAACUCUCAUAUUUUGUCUACAUCUACAGGCUAUUUAUAUGCAAGGGUGAAAACAUGUAUGUCCACAUGUUUCUUCCCCCGGUCUCUUGCAGCUUUGCUCUCUGUCCUCAUAUAGCACAGUAUCCUUUCACUGAAGCCUAUAUGUCAGCUACGUGUAAAGAAUUGCUUCCUUCAAUGGCUCCAGGUACAGACCCUAACACAAGUUAUAGGAUUCAAACCAACCUGUUACAACGAAAUAUGAGCCUGUGAUGCAAAGUUUGGCUCUAGAUUGAAAGUUGGGGCAGAGACAAGGCUUGAGGGGAAAGAUCUGAUAUUCUGAUUCAGGCUCCUCUCUGUUAAAAGAAAUCAUCUCCUGUAAGAAGCAUGUUUUCAGAAGUGGUCACUCACUCACUUGUUGUGCCACAGUUGUGUGGGGUAUUUCACUUGAGACACCUUGUGCCUGAUUUUCAGAGCUACUAAGAACCCACUUUCCACAGAGCACCCCAGGAGUAAGUCAUACCAAUUCACUGAAUGCUUCUGAAAAUUGGAGCUGUGUUCCUCCUGAUGAUUACCUGUUCUGUUCAUUCCCUCCAGGGCACCUGUCAUUGGCCACUAUUGGAAGACAGGAUACUGGGCUAGAUGGAUCUUUGGUCUGACCCAGUAUGGCUGUUCUUAUGUUCUUAUGUCCACACACACUCCCAAAUACUAUCUCCAGCUAUAAUGCUAUAAUGAAUUGCUGAAGACUGUCUGAGUCUUACACCCAUGCAAGGAUUCAAUCCCAAACUUUUCCUAAGUUACACAAAUAGGCACAUAAGAAUCAGUUUCCCUUUACAUGCAGUAGGGGGCUAGUCACAUCAUCCUGAAGAUUUAUCCAACAGAGACAUUAUUAUCAUCUAUAUUAAUUUAUAGUAAUAUUUUAAGAAUUUCUGUUUAAGAUUUUGCAUAAUUUG